rnacentral:rRNA from 1 species
UACGUAGGGCGCAAGCGUUGUCCGGAAUUAUUGGGCGUAAAGAGCUCGUAGGCGGUUUGUCGCGUCUGCUGUGAAAACCUAAGGCUCAACCUUGGGCUUGCAGUGGGUACGGGCAGACUAGAGUGCGGUAGGGGUGACUGGAAUUCCUGGUGUAGCGGUGGAAUGCGCAGAUAUCAGGAGGAACACCGGUGGCGAAGGCGGCUAUCGUGGACAGAGUCUGGACGCUGAAGGCGCGAAAGCUAGGGGAGCAAACAGG